rnacentral:rRNA from 1 species
GACGAACGCUGGCGGCGUGCUUAACACAUGCAAGUCGAACGGAAAGGCCCUGCUCUUGUUGGUUGCUCGAGUGGCGAACGGGGGAGUAACACGUGAGUAAACUGCCCUUGUCUUUGGGAUAACUUUAGGGAACUGGGGCUAAUAUCGGAUAUGAGCUCCUGCUGCAUGGUGGGGGUUGGAGAGUUGCGGCUGUGGUGGAUGGACUCGCGGCUUAUCAGCUUGUUGGUGUGGUAGUGGCUUACCAAGGCUUUGACGGGUAGCCGGCCUGAGAGGGUGAACGGCCACAUGGGGACUGAGAUACGGCGCAGACUCCAACGGGAGGCAGAAGUGGGGAGUAUUGCACAAUGGGGGGAAGCCUGAUGCAGCAGCGCCGCGUGCGGGAUAACGGCCUUCGGGUUGUAAACCGCUUUCGACUGUGACGAAGCGUGAGUGACGGUAAUGGGUAAAGAAGCACCGGCUAACUACGUG